rnacentral:rRNA from 1 species
UACAGAGGUCUCAAGCGUUUGUUCGGAUUCAUUGGGCGUAAAGGGUGCGUAGGCGGCGCGGUAAGUCGGGUGUGAAAUUUCGAGGCUUAACUUCGAAACUGCAUUCGAUACUGCCGUGCUUGAGGACUGGAGAGGAGACUGGAAUUUACGGUGUAGCGGUGAAAUGCGUAGAGAUCAUGAGGAAGACCAGUGGCGAAGGCGGGGUCUCUGGACAGUUCCUGACACUGAGGCACGAAGGCCAGGGGGAGCAAAACGGGG